rnacentral:rRNA from 1 species
AAACUCUGUCGUGCUGGGGAUAGAGCAUUGCAAUUAUUGCUCUUCAACGAGGAAUUCCUAGUAGUCGUAAUUCAUCAGAUUGCGACGAUUACGUCCCUGCCCUUUGUACACACCGCCCGUCGCUACUACCGAUUGAAUGGCUUAGUGAGGCCUCUGGAUCGGCUCCGCCUGGCUGGCAACGGCCUCGCGCUGUCGAGAAGCUGGUCAAACUUGGUCAUUUAGAGGAAGUAAAAGUCGUAACAAGGUCUCCGUAGGUGAACCUGCGGAGGGAUCAUUAACGAAUGGCCUUUGGCCUUCGACCUUGUAAACCCGUGGAAGGAAGAUUGCUUCGGCGCCUUUGGCGCCCGGUCUAUGCCGUAAAGCAUUGGUCUGAAUCAAACAUAAGUUUAAAACUUUCAACAAAGGAUCUCUUGGCUCUCGCAUCGAUGAAGAACGCAGCGAAGCGCGAAAUGUAGUGUGAAUCGCAGAAAAUUGUGAAUCAUCGAAUCUUUGAACGCACAUUGCGCCUCCUUUCCGGGAGGCAUGCCUGUCUGAGCGUCGUUUAAACCAUAGCCCCCAAAAGGGUCUGUCUUGGGCAUCGCCUUUGGGCGUAGCCUCGAAGCGAUUGGUCUGAAGAGCGGAUGAAAUCCAUUAGGACGGACCGUUCUGCGACCUUAAACUUUGAAUUUGACCUCAGAUCAGGUAGGACUACCGCCUGAACUUAAGCAUAUCAAUAAGGCGAGGAACAGAAACCAACAGGGAUUCCCUUAGUAGUGGCGAAUGAAUCGGGAAAAGCUCAAGUUUGAAAUCCGAGGUUUACCUCGGAGUUGUAAGCUGAAGAGGCAUCGAUCGACCCGGUCCGGGCUCAAUUUCCUUGGAACAGGAGGUCAUGGAGGGUGAGAACCCCGUCUGUGGCUCGGGUGCCGUGGUCCUUGUGUCGUGUCCUCGAAGAGUCGAGUUGUUUGGGAAUGCAGCUC